rnacentral:rRNA from 1 species
AGCGAACGCUGGCGGCAGGCCUAACACAUGCAAGUCGAACGCCCCGCAAGGGGAGUGGCAGACGGGUGAGUAACACGUGGGAACGUACCCUUUGGUUCGGAAUAACUUGGGGAACUCAAGCUAAUACCGGAGAAGCCCCUAUGCGGGAAGGUUUACUGCCGAAGGAUCGGCCCGCGUCUGAUUAGCUAGUUGGUGAGGUAAUGGCUCACCAAGGCGACGAUCAGUAGCUGGUCUGAGAGGAUGAUCAGCCACACAGGGACUGAGACGCGGCCCAGACUCCUACGGGAGGCAGCAGUGGGGAAUAUUGGACAAUGGGGGCAACCCUGAUCCAGCCAGGCCGCGUGAGUGAUGAAGGCCUUAGGGUUGUAAAGCUCUUUUACCCGGGACGAUAAUGACUGUACCGGGAGAAUAAGCCCCGGCUAACUUCGUGCCAGCCGCCGCCGUAA